CCUACGGGUGGCAGCAGUGAGGAAUAUUGGUCAAUGGGCUUACGCCUGAACCAGCCAAGUCGCGUGAGGGAAGACUGCCCUAUGGGUUGUAAACCUCUUUUGUCAGGGAGCAACGCCGGCUACGUGUAGCCGGACUGAGAGUACCUGAAGAAAAAGCAUCGGCUAACUCCGUGCCAGCAGCCGCGGUAAUACGGAGGAUGCUAGCGUUAUCCGGAUUUAUUGGGUUUAAAGGGUGCGUAGGCGGCAAGGUAAGUCUGAUGGUAAAGCCCGGGGCUCAACUCCGGUUCGGCAUUGGAUACUAUCUAGCUAGAAUGUGGUAGAGGUAAAGGGAAGUCCUGGUGUAGCGGUGAAAUGCGUAGAUAUCAGGAGGAACAUCGGUGGCGAAAGCGCUUUACUGGACCAUUAUUGACGCUGAGGAACGAAAGCCAGGGGAGCAAAUGGGAUUAGAUACCCCAGUAGUC
rnacentral:rRNA from 1 species